rnacentral:snRNA from 1 species
CCACCUUAAGGGUAAUUUC